rnacentral:rRNA from 1 species
UUAAUGAGAGUUUGAUCCUGGCUCAGGACGAACGCUGGCGGCGUGCCUAAUACAUGCAAGUAGAACGCUGAAGAGAGGAGCUUGCUCUUCUUGGAUGAGUUGCGAACGGGUGAGUAACGCGUAGGUAACCUGCCUGGUAGCGGGGGAUAACUAUUGGAAACGAUAGCUAAUACCGCAUAAUAGCAGUUAUUGCAUGAUAACUGUUUGAAAGGUGCAAUUGCAUCACUACCAGAUGGACCUGCGUUGUAUUAGCUAGUUGGUGGGGUAACGGCUCACCAAGGCGACGAUACAUAGCCGACCUGAGAGGGUGAUCGGCCACACUGGGACUGAGACACGGCCCAGACUCCUACGGGAGGCAGCAGUAGGGAAUCUUCGGCAAUGGACGGAAGUCUGACCGAGCAACGCCGCGUGAGUGAAGAAGGUUUUCGGAUCGUAAAGCUCUGUUGUAAGAGAAGAACGAGUGUGAGAGUGGAAAGUUCACACUGUGACGGUAUCUUACCAGAAAGGGACGGCUAACUACGUGCCAGCAGCCGCGGUAAUACGUAGGUCCCGAGCGUUGUCCGGAUUUAUUGGGCGUAAAGCGAGCGCAGGCGGUUAGAUAAGUCUGAAGUUAAAGGCUGUGGCUUAACCAUAGUACGCUUUGGAAACUGUUUAACUUGAGUGCAAGAGGGGAGAGUGGAAUUCCAUGUGUAGCGGUGAAAUGCGUAGAUAUAUGGAGGAACACCGGUGGCGAAAGCGGCUCUCUGGCUUGUAACUGACGCUGAGGCUCGAAAGCGUGGGGAGCAAACAGGAUUAGAUACCC